AAUUCCGAUAACGAACGAGACCUUAACCUGCUAAAUAGUCCGGCCGGCUUUUGCUGGUCGCAGACUUCUUAGAGGGACUGUCAGCGUCUAGCUGACGGAAGUUUGAGGCAAUAACAGGUCUGUGAUGCCCUUAGAUGUUCUGGGCCGCACGCGCGCUACACUGACAGAGCCAGCGUAGUUUUCCACCUUGGCCGGAAGGUCUGGGUAAUCUUGUGAAACUUUGUCGUGCUGGGGAUAGGGCAUUGCAAUC
rnacentral:rRNA from 1 species